GCGGAUCGCCCAGCCCUUUUCCCGCUCCCCUGGGCGCGGGGGGCCCCCCAGCUCUGAGUGCUCCUUCCAACAGCUCUGAGGGCCCAGAUGCCCCGCCCACGUCGGGCCUGCGCUCCGCCCCUCUGUCCCGAAAGGUCUCUACUCUAGGCCUUUCGGUUUGCGCGGGCCGGCCCGCUGCGGGGAGGGGCGGGAGCUCUGGCGGCCGCUCACGGUCUCCCAGCAUUUGAUUCGUCCUCUCAUGGGCAUGAGCCUGGCCUUGCAGUGCCAAGUGAGGGAGCUAGCAACCGUGCUUCGUAUGAAAGAUCUAGAGAUCCAGGACUACCAGGAGAGUGGGGCUAUGCUGAGCCGAGAUCGGUUGAAGACGGAGCCAUUUGAAGAAAAUUCCUUCUUGGAACAAUUUAUGGUAGAGGUA